rnacentral:misc_RNA from 1 species
AAGUAAAAGUCGUAACAAGGUCUCCGUUGGUGAACCAGCGGAGGGAUCAUUACAGAGUUGCAAAACUCCCUAAACCCAUUGUGAACGUUACCUAUACCGUUGCUUCGGCGGGCGGCCCCCGGGGUUUACCCCCCCGGGCGGCCCCUGGGCCCCACCGCGGGCGCCCGCCGGAGGUCACCAAACUCUUGAUACUUUUUAUGGCCUCUCUGAGUCUUCUGUACUGAAUAAGUCAAAACUUUCAACAACGGAUCUCUUGGUUCUGGCAUCGAUGAAGAACGCAGCGAAAUGCGAUAAGUAAUGUGAAUUGCAGAAUUCAGUGAAUCAUCGAAUCUUUGAACGCACAUUGCGCCCGCCAGUAUUCUGGCGGGCAUGCCUGUUCGAGCGUCAUUUCAACCAUCAAGCCCCCGGGCUUGUGUUGGGGACCUGCGGCUGCCGCAGGCCCUGAAAAGCAGUGGCGGGCUCGCUGUCACACCGAGCGUAGUAGCAUACAUCUCGCUCCGGUCGUGCUGCGGGUUCCGGCCGUUAAACCACCUUUUAACCCAAGGUUGACCUCGGAUCAGGUAGGAAGACCCGCUGAACUUAAGCAUAUCAAUAAGCGGAGGAA